rnacentral:rRNA from 1 species
UUUUUUAAUUGGAAACUUGUAUGAAUGGUUAAAUGAAAUAUUAUCUGUUUCAUAAAUAAAAUAUUAGAAUUUUAUUUUUUAGUUAAAAAGCUAAAAUUUUUUUAAAAGACGAGAAGACCCUAUAAAGUUUUAUAUAGUAUUAAUUUUAAUAUUUUAAUAAUUGUUUUUAUUUAAAUAAAUAUUAUAUUUUGUUGGGGUGACAUUAAAAUAUAAAAAACUUUUAUUUUUUAAAACAUUGAUAUAUGAAUUAAUGAUCCAAUUUUAUUGAUUAUAAGUUUAAAUUACUUUAGGGAUAACAGCAUAAUUUUUUUUUAAAGUUCAUAUUAAUAAAAAAGAUUGU